rnacentral:rRNA from 1 species
AGCAGCCGCGGUAAUUCCAGCUCCAAUAGCGUAUAUUAAAGUUGUUGCAGUUAAAAAGCUCGUAGUUGAAUUUCGGGGUCAGUAGAUUGGUCGUGCCACUGGUAUGUACUGGUCUCACUGGCUCCUCCUUCCUGAUGAACCGUAAUGCCAUUAAUUUGGUGUUGCGGGGAGACUGGACUGUUACUUUGAAAAAAUUAGAGUGUUUAAAGCAGGCUAACGCUUGAAUACAUUAGCAUGGAAUAAUGAAAUAGGACGUUCGAUCUUAUUUUGUUGGUUUCUAAGAUUGACGUAAUGAUUAAUAGGGAUAGUUGGGGGCAUUAGUAUUCAAUUGUCAGAGGUGAAAUUCUUGGAUUUAUUGAAGACCAACUACUGCGAAAGCAUUUGCCAAGGAUGUUUUCAUUAAUCAAGAACGAAAGUUAGGGGAUCGAAGACGAUCAGAUACCGUCGUAGUCUUAACCAUAAACUAUGCCGACUAGGGAUCGGAUGAUGUUAAUUUUUUAAUGACUCAUUCGGCGCCUUA